AUUUAAUAUUUUUUUUUAAACAAUCUAAAGAGCAAAAAAAAAUGUACGUGUAUUCUAGUUGCAAAGUAUGCAAAUGCUUCAGAUGGCUUUGUUUUUAUUGUGUAAAACUGUUGAACACAACUGUGGUGCACAAAUUCUUUCCAUGUAAGGAGUCUAUGCAUUUUACAGGAACAUAUCUUAUGAUUGGGUAAUGAGACAGUUAUACAUUCAACUGCCAUUAUUUUUAUUAAGUGCUUUCACUUUCUUUACAGUUAUUACAAAGUUAUAUUUAUUUUCUACAGAUGGGUUUCUGUUUUCAUGAUGCUGUAAUGUUUACUUCAGCUUGUUGAGCUUUCUUUGUGAUCUGCAUGUCACAAUGUGUGCUCUAAGGUGACUGUCAAUGCUGUGACAACUGUAACUUGCUUUGUAAAGGGCUGGUCACCUGUGGAUCUGGUUUAUGAAUGCAUCGGGAUGAUUUUACCAGAUCACCUUUUCAGAAAUUUAGAUGUUGUAAACACCAAAAGAAGCAUUUUCUCAGCAAAAAUUAAUAGCUGGUUCUAUUUUUUUUAAAUGUAGAGAAAAUAAAGUUGAUUUCCUUUUUUCCAAAAACAAUGCUUUUAAUUCUUACUAAUGGGGGUGGGUGUCUGCUGGGCGGAGCCCCUCAGCACUCACUGCUGUGGCACGUGCCCAGAGCUCGGCAUUCAUGACCGGUGAGGAAAACCACCCGGUUCCUUCUUUGCUUACAAAGGCUUGCUCCUUCCUCCAGUCUUCUCAUUUGGUAUGAGCUCUUGGGAAAAUUUAUGUAAAUGUACAUCCAUGUAUAAUAUAUUUUGCUGAUAACAUAUUUAAUGCAAUUAGCAAAUAAUAAAAUAUAAGUAAUUGAUCCUUACAAUAUAAUUAUCAUUGCUGAACCCUCGGAGCCAACCUGUGACAAUAUCAACCAUGAUUGCUAGCAUUAUGCCCUGAUAAACUAACCAUCUCCAGAUAAACUCAUUUAGUCUAGUGUAUGAUUUAUAGUAAACGCUUACCCUUGUACAGAAUCUCCUUUUAGUCUCAGCAUUAAUUGGAAGUUUAGAUAAUUUAUUUUUAAUCCUAUUAAACCCUAGAAUUAAAUGAUCAGCUCUUAGAGACAAGCUGGAGCUACCGUCAUCACCACAGUCCUGGUCUUUGUGUUUUGAUUUGUUUUAAUUACUAGUGUUGAAUAAAAUUCUCAGAAUUGAUUUGCUCACUGGUCCAAGAAAACUCCUAUCAUUGGCCUUUGCGGGUUUUAAAAUGGAAAAGGACUGAGAGCACAUUGAGCGAGGGAGCGCUCUAUCCUGGAAAGUCUAAGGAGAUCAGGGGCACAGGGCCGGUACGCUGCGUUCUCAGAGCUGAGUAAAUGUGUACACCUAUACUGAGAUUUUUUUUUUUCUUAACAUUAAAAACAUUGAUGGUUUAGUCAUUUGUUUGUAGAAUGUUUGACCCAUUUUGAAAACUUUUAAUGUGUUAAAAUGUCUUGCACAAUCCUACCAAAUAAGUUGAAUAGUUACAGUUGAGUCUACCUCUUCUUUUCUUGGCUGGAUUUAGGCUGCUGGUUGGGUGAGGCUGCGGCUUUAUUUCCCCUCUACAGUACUUUAUGUGGGAGACAGAUCUAGGGCCUGGAAGCAGACUUGAAGCGUUUUGAGAUCUGUUGCUGACCAGCCCUCUUCCCCGAGAGUCUGGGGAAAGCCAUUGUUUUUAAUGCCCACUUAAUAUGAAAAUGUUUGUUUUAAAAAAUGUUUCUUGCUGGUGAAAAAUGUAUUUUUAAAACGAAAAACCAAAUCCUCUUUUGGUCUGAGAAGUCAGCUGUAUGAGCAGGUGUGACCGUAUCAUAACAUGCUGAUGUCAUAGAAAUCAAUAAAUUUUUACCUCUCAGG
rnacentral:lncRNA from 1 species